GACGAACGCUGGCGGCGUGCCUAAUACAUGCAAGUUGAGCGCUGAAGGUUGGUACUUGUACCAACUGGAUGAGCAGCGAACGGGUGAGUAACGCGUGGGGAAUCUGCCUUUGAGCGGGGGACAACAUUUGGAAACGAAUGCUAAUACCGCAUAAAAACUUUAAACACAAGUUUUAAGUUUGAAAGAUGCAAUUGCAUCACUCAAAGAUGAUCCCGCGUUGUAUUAGCUAGUUGGUGAGGUAAAGGCUCACCAAGGCGAUGAUACAUAGCCGACCUGAGAGGGUGAGUGGCCACAUUGGGACUGAGACACGGCCCAAACUCCUACGGGAGGCAGCAGUAGGGAAUCUUCGGCCAUGGACGAAAGUCUGACCGAGCAACGCCGAGUGAGUGAAGAAGGUUUUCGGAUCGGAAAACUCUGUUGGUAGAGAAGAACGUUGGUGAGAGUGGAAAGCUCAUCAAGUGACGGUAACUACCCAGAAAGGGACGGCUAACUACGUG
rnacentral:rRNA from 1 species